AAUGAACGCUGGCGGCAGGCCUAACACAUGCAAGUCGAGCGGAGCGGCGGACGGGUGAGUAAUGCCUAGGAAUCUGCCUGGCAGUGGGGGAUAACGUCCGGAAACGGGCGCUAAUACAGCAUACUAGAAGAUGAGCCGAGGUCGGAUUAGCUAGUUGGUGGGGUAAAGGCCUACCAAGGAGACGAACCGUAACUGGUAUGAGAGGAUGUUCAGUCACACUGGAACGUGUACACGGUCCGGACUCCUACGGGAGGCGGCAGAGGGGAUUAUUGGACAAGGGGCGAAGGCCUAAUCCAGCCAUGCCGCGUGUGUGAAGAAGUUCUUCGGAUUGUAAAGCACUUUAAGUUGGAAGUCGUUACCAACCGAGUAAGCACCGGCUAACUUCGUGCCAGCAGCCGCGGUAAUAC
rnacentral:rRNA from 1 species